rnacentral:tRNA from 1 species
GGCUUGUGGCUCAGCGGUAGAGCACGACCCUAGCACGUGUGAGGUACUGGGUUCAAUCCUCAACACUA